AGCCUCUAAUUUCGUAGCUAGGGUGGCGCAUGCGAAUCGAGCAUGUAUUGAUUGCUGAAGGCUCGACUUCCGGGAUGUUAGAAGACCGAAGUGAUCUUGCGGUGAUCCCAAGAAAAGAACGUGUUUGUUAUAUGCAAACAAGCAUUACGAGUUCGCUGAUGUUGUUUGAAAUGCCAUUCCAAAAUGGCAAUGAAAAUAAAUGAAAAUGGAAGCAAAAAGGAAGUAUUCAAAUUCUAAGUUUAAGGGGGUGUUUUAUGGUUUUAAUCGUUUUAACUAUUAUAACUUGAGUUUUAUCUACUAUGAAAUACUGACGAUGGACCAUCAAACUUGGAUUUUAGCACAUCAUUGAAUUAAAAAGUUCAUAAAUUCUUUUGAAUCGGAUUAACCUAUAGAAUUCUUGGGAAUAUGGAUUUAAAGUAAAUGGGGUGUAACUCGGUGGGGAAGGGCUUUUGGAAUAAGACUUUUAUUGGUAGUGCUAAAGUGUGAACUGCAAGUAUUCCUAAUUGCUAAAAUGGUUAAAAUCGCAAGAAUUAUGAAAGAGAAGGUAUAAUAUUGAAACAUUUACAACCAAACCAUAAUAGGGACGAACAUAUAUGCCCGGCAGUAAUAAUGGAGGAAAGAUUAAGCGAUGGAUAUAUUCAGAGUAGAUAUUCCCAUCUCAUUCAAGUAGGAGUAGGAAAACCCGUGAGGAGAUGGACGGCGGGGAAGAAUACAGUAAUUGAGGAGACGAAAAUCAAACGACAUUUCUAAUAUGAAGUAUUGUCUUUUGCUUUUGAGUUUCAACAAUAAAAUGGGGUGGACAAAAGGGACUUAAACAGCGAAGGAAGAAGAAUUAGUAGAGGGCACAUGGAACGGAAUAGAUCUAUAAAUACAUGUAUAAUAUAAGUAUAUAAUAUAGCAGAGAUGGCCAAGCUCUUUGAUAGUCCGAGCCAUUUUUCAAUUUGAAAUUUUUUGCAAGCCGCAAUUAAAUACGUAUAUAUUAAAAGGGUACUUGGGUACAUUUAUCGAGAACCACAAAUAAUCCUGCAAAGAGCCGCAUGUGGCUCGCGAGCCGCAGUUUGGCCACCGUCUUAAUAUAGUAUAAGUUGGCGCACAAGAAUUAUCUUUUUUGAAUUCUCGCCUUAUUUUCAGAAAAUGUCGUCUUGAGUUGUUGUAGUUUGUAACAAUUUCGGAUUAAUUUAUUUAGCGUAUGGCAUAUAAGACACGCAAUACGAUAGUAGAUCUGAUACCAUCUGUAGUAAAAAUAUGCAAAGUUCUGUAAUAUUCACCAUGUACAGGAUUUCCCGUGAGUAGUUAUACAAGGAGAGUUCUGGAAAACUCUAGCGUUACGCUCAAGUCGUCCGCUAGAUGGUGCCACCUGCGUCGAGAAGGGCACUAGCGCUAGUAGCUGCGGUUUAGGAUUUACAUCGGUUUCUUUCCCCGUAUUAGUUACUUUGCUUUAUUUUCAAAUAAUAUUUAUUAUGUAAUACCUUAGUUUUAUACAUUA